CACGUAGUUAGCCGGGGCUUCUUAGUCAGGUACCGUCAUUUUCUUCCCUGCUGAUAGAGCUUUACAUACCGAAAUACUUCCUCACUCACGCGGCGUCGCUGCAUCAGGGUUUCCCCCCAUUGUGCAAUAUUCCCCACUGCUGCCUCCCGUAGGAGUUUGGGCCGUGUCUCAGUCCCAAUGUGGCCGUUCACCCUCUCAGGCCGGCUACUGAUCGUUGCUUUGGUAGGCCGUUACCCUGCCAACUGGCUAAUCAGACGCGGGUCCAUCUCAUACCGAUAAAUCUUUUCCGUCUGUAUCAUGCGAUACUAGCGGGUUAUGCGGUAUUAGCGGUCGUUUCCAACUGUUAUCCCCCUGUAUGAGGUAGGUUACCCACGCGUUACUCACCCGUCCGCCACUCAGUCACAAAGGCUUUCAUCCGAAGAAUCUUUCCUAAGUGCUUCGUUCGACUUGCAUGUGUUAAGCACGCCGCCAGCGUUCAUCCUGACGCCAGGAUCAAACUCU
rnacentral:rRNA from 1 species